UCCCUGAUGGUCCAAUGGCUAAGACUCUACGUUCUCAAUAAAGGGAGCCAGGUUCCAUCCCUGGUCAGGGAA
rnacentral:tRNA from 1 species